UGCACGCACUCUCGCUCUCUCGCUCGCUCCCCACUCACUCGCUCUCUCCCGGCCCAGUCGCCCUCCCCGCCGACCACUCGCUCACCGGCCAGUCGCUCGCCGGCCAGUCGCCGUCCUCUCACUCUCGUCGGUGUCUUCCUCACCCCGCCUUGCUCCUCACCACCCCGAUUCGUACCCCUAACCCUAGCAACCCGCCUGCUAGCUCUUGGUCAAAGGUGACAUUUUUACCGCCGCGCUGCUCGAUCUGUGGGCGGAGGUGCUCGAUCUGUGGGUCGCGGUGGUCGAUCCGUGGGUGGCGGUGCUUGAUCCAUGCUGGAGCAGCGGGAGGAGGACGGCGGUGCUGGAUUGGAGACCGGAGCAGCGGGAUGAGGAGAACGGCGGUGCUGGAUUGGAGACCGAAGCAGCGGGCUUCUUCUGCUCGUCUUGGCCGUGGCCGCUACCUGAGCUGCCCGCGAGGCGGCGCAGCAUGUCGGGGUGUGCUCUAGCCUUGGCUCGCUUGCCUCUGGUGCCGCUGCUUCGCCUGACGGUGUGGCGCAGGAGGUGCGCCUGGCUCCGGAAGAAGGAGGCGUGCGUCUGACCGAAGCAGAUGUAGGACACCGCCUGCCUGGAGCACUAGAGAAGCGGCACCAUCGUCCUCUCCAUGCCUUGUGUCAGAUUCUCUUGAUUGGAGUGGAGAGGAGCAGAGACGAGAGGAGCAGCAGAAGUGGACAGCGCAGCGGCUAACCUCGAGCUCUUGAUUGGAGUGGGGGGAGGCGGCCGGCGAAGGAUCUAUGGCCAGCAGCAAGGAUCCGAAGCUGUGGCUGAGCAGGCAGCCGGCGGGAAAGGUGGCCGGCGAGGGAGCUGCGGACCGCGGCGGGGAAGGGCGGCCGAUGAGGGAGCUGUGGACCACAGCAGGGAAGGGCGGCCGACCGGCGAGGAAGCUGCGGACCACGGCAGGGAAGGACGUCGGAGAUGCGGACGACGGAGGUGCCCGGCAAAAGGGAGCAGCGACGGCGGAGAAGCCUGGCGGAGGGGAGGAGCGACGGAGGAAGACGCCUCCCGAUCGAUUUCAGAUCGGGGGUAGUAUUGUACUUUCACACUGUUUCACCUGAUCGGAACGAUACCCCCAGCGACAAUUAUUUCGGAACAGAGGGAGUAUAUAUAUAUCUAUAUCUAUAUUAAUAUAAAAAGACCCAAAUGGGCAGAUCCAAGAUUUUUUUUCAAAA